rnacentral:rRNA from 1 species
AGAGUUUGAUCCUGGCUCAGGACGAACGCUGGCGGCGUGCCUAAUACAUGCAAGUCGAACGAGAAUUGCUUACACCGAGUGCUUGCACUCACCGUAAGGAAUUCGAGUGGCGGACGGGUGAGUAACACGUGGGUAACCUGCCUAUCAGAGGGGGAUAACACUUGGAAACAGGUGCUAAUACCGCAUAAUAUUGAAAAGCGCAUGCUUUUCAAUUAAAAGGCGCUUCUGGUGUCACUGAUAGAUGGACCCGCGGCGUAUUAGCUAGUUGGUGAGGUAACGGCCUACCAAGGCAAUGAUACGUAGCCGAGUUGAGAGACUGAUCGGCCACAAUGGGACUGAGACACGGCCCAUACUCCUACGGGAGGCAGCAGUAGGGAAUCUUCCACAAUGGGCGCAAGCCUGAUGGAGCAACGCCGCGUGCGUGAAGAAGGUCUUCGGAUCGUAAAGCGCUGUUGUUAGAGAAGAACACGGAUAAGAGUAACUGUUUAUGCGUUGACGGUAUCUAACCAGAAAGUCACGGCUAACUACGUGCCAGCAGCCGCGGUAAUACGUAGGUGGCAAGCGUUGUCCGGAUUUAUUGGGCGUAAAGGGAACGCAGGCUGUUUUUUAAGUCCGAUGUGAAAGCCUUCGGCUUAACCGAAGAAGUGCAUUGGAAACUGGGAGACUUGAGUGCAGAAGAGGAGAGUGGAACUCCAUGUGUAGCGGUGAAAUGCGUAGAUAUAUGGAAGAACACCAGUGGCGAAAGCGGCUCUCUGGUCUGUAACUGACGCUGAGGUUCGAAAGCAUGGGUAGCGAACAGGAUUAGAUACCCUGGUAGUCC